rnacentral:misc_RNA from 1 species
UUGCUCUUUGCUUGGCACCUUUCCCGUCAUAAGAAGCCAAAGAAUACCCUCGGCCAUCGGCUCUCCCCCGGGAGUGGCAGCAGGUAACGCUUUUUGACAUUCAGGAAUAGAGAGCCCCCUGAAGCGAAUUCCCUCAUUAGGAUCAACUUUAGAUCCUUCCCACAACAAAGCAGGCAUUUCCCGCAUUCCACCAAUUACCAUGUUCACAUUGAUGUUGCCAAGCUGAACAUUUCCAUACUCGGAUUUCAGUCUCUUCAGACGGUCCCGCAGUUCUGGAAUCAUUUGCUCAACCUGAGAGCGAAGAUCAAGAUCAGAUGCAGUCAGAGUUUGCAGCCACCGGACAGAUCCCGACGGAGCCGACUCCUGAGCCAGCCGCGAUCGGAGCUGCGAGAGCUUCGCCACGCUCCGGAAGAACGCCAUCGAGAGCGUUCACGAGGUCGAGAGAGGCGGCAAUGGAGAGUGAUUUGGGGACCG